rnacentral:misc_RNA from 1 species
UAGAUCUCUUGCUCCUAUCAUGUAACAUUUCCUGCCGCUUUCUUUCUCCAACACAAAACUCGAAUUUCCAGAGCCGAUCAAAAGCAGAUGAUCGCAGAGAUGGAAGUAGAGAGCCUUCUUGGACAAGGAAUUCAGAACUGAAGUCGAAGAUGGAGAAGAAGCCUGAGAAAUAAUCUGCCGGUAAUCGGACGGCAGAAAAUUAGUCCACAGAGCG